rnacentral:rRNA from 1 species
GACGAACGCUGGCGGCGUGCUUAACACAUGCAAGUCGAACGGAAAGGCCCUGCUUUUGUGGGGUGCUCGAGUGGCGAACGGGUGAGUAACACGUGAGUAACCUGCCCUUGACUUUGGGAUAACUUCAGGAAACUGGGGCUAAUGCCGGAUAGGAGCUCCUGCUGCAUGGUGGGGGUUGGAAAGUUUCGGCGGUUGGGGAUGGACUCGCGGCUUAUCAGCUUGUUGGUGGGGUAGUGGCUUACCAAGGCUUUGACGGGUAGCCGGCCUGAGAGGGUGACCGGCCACAUUGGGACUGAGAUACGGCCCAGACUCCUACGGGAGGCAGCGGUGGGGAAUAUUGCACAAUGGGCGGAAGCCUGAUGCAGCAACGCCGCGUGCGGGAUGACGGCCUUCGGGUUGUAAACCGCUUUCGCCUGUGACGAAGCGUGAGUGACGGUAAUGGGUAAAGAAGCACCGGCUAACUACGUG